rnacentral:rRNA from 1 species
CAUGCAAGUCGAACGGGGUGUCCUUCGGGGCACUCACGUGGCGGACGGGUGAGGAACACGUGGGCAAUCUGCCGGGUGCACGGGGGUAGCCCGCGGAAACGCGGGGUAAUUCCGGAUGACGGCGCCGACCGGGUAGGGUCGGUGCGCAAAGGCUUCGGCCGGCACCCGAGGAGCCUGCGGCCGAUUAGCUAGUUGGGGGGGUAACGGCCUCCCAAGGCGAUGAUCGGUAGCUGGUCUGAGAGGAUGAUCAGCCACACGGGGACUGAGACACGGCCCCGACUCCUACGGGAGGCAGCAGCAAGGAAUUUUCCGCAAUGGGCGCAAGCCUGACGGAGCAACGCCGCGUGCGGGAGGACGCCUUUCGGGGUGUAAACCGCUGUUCGUGGGGACGAAGCACUGACGGUACCCACGGAGGAAGGCCCGGCUAACUACGUGCCAGCAGCCGCGGUAAUACGUAGGGGCCGAGCGUUGUCCGGAGUUACUGGGCGUAAAGCGUGCGCAGGCGGCCGAUUCUGCCCGGCGUGAAAGCCCCCGGCUCAACCGGGGAACGUCGUCGGGGACGGGUCGGCUUGAGGACAGCAGGGGCUGGUGGAAUUCCCGGUGUAGUGGUGAAAUGCGUAGAGAUCGGGAGGAACACCCGUGGCGAAGCGGCCAGCUGGGCUGGACCUGACGCUGA